UCAUAAAGUGCGUCGUAGUCCGGAUUGGAGUCUGCAACUCGACUCCAUGAAGUCGGAAUCGCUAGUAAUCGUGGAUCAGAAUGCCACGGUGAAUACGUUCCCGGGCCUUGUACACACCGCCCGUCACACCAUGGGAGUGGGUUGCAAAAGAAGUAGGUAGCUUAACCUUCGGGAGGGCGCUUACCACUUUGUGAUUCAUGACUGGGGUGAAGUCGUAACAAGGUAACCGUAGGGGAACCUGCGGUUGGAUCACCUCCUUACCUUAAAGAAGC
rnacentral:rRNA from 2 species